AGAGUUUGAUCAUGGCUCAGAACGAACGCUGGCGGCAGGCUUAACACAUGCAAGUCGAGCGCGUGUAGCAAUACACGAGCGGCGCACGGGUGAGUAACGCGUGGAUAUCUGCCUUUUGGUUCGGAAUAACCCCGGGAAACUGGGGCUAAUACCGGAUGGUUCCUACGGGAUAAAGAUUUAUCGCCAAAAGAUGAGUCCGCGUCCGAUUAGCUAGUUGGUGAGGUAACGGCUCACCAAGGCGACGAUCGGUAGCUGGUCUGAGAGGACGAUCAGCCACACUGGGACUGAGACACGGCCCAGACUCCUACGGGAGGCAGCAGUGGGGAAUAUUGGACAAUAGGGGCAACCCUGAUCCAGCCAUGCCGCGUGAGUGAUGAAGGCCUUCGGGUUGUAAAGCUCUUUUGGCGGGGACGAUGAUGACGGUACCCGCAGAAUAAGCCCCGGCUAACUUCGUGCCAGCAGCCGCGGUAAGACGAAGGGGGCUAGCGUUGUUCGGAAUUACUGGGCGUAAAGCGCGUGUAGGCGGUUGUCCAAGUUGGAUGUGAAAGCCUUGAGCUCAACUCAAGAAAUGCAUUCAGGACUGGAUGACUAGAGGACCGGAGAGGAUAGUGGAAUUCCCAGUGUAGUGGUGAAAUACGUAGAGAUUGGGAAGAACACCAGUGGCGAAGGCGGCUAUCUGGACGGUUUCUGACGCUAAGACGCGAAAGCGUGGGGAGCAAACAGGAUUAGAUACCCUAGUAGUCC
rnacentral:rRNA from 1 species